rnacentral:RNase_P_RNA from 4 species
UUUGAUUAGCGGGUAGCUACCCUGCUCCCCUGAAGGGGGUGGGGAGGAAAGUCCGGACACCGAAGCGUAUUUUUCGCUUCAGAGAUAGUCGCUAACAGCGACGGGGAAUAAGGUAUUCUAUUUAUGUUAUUUUUUCGUUAAAAGCGGAGAAGUAGCAAAAAGAAAAGUAUUGAAGCCCACGGAGAGUGCAACAGAAAAUACACCACCUCAAUCUUUAAGGGAUGAAUAUUUCGCCUUAUUCGCGGGGGCUUGCCCCGUGAAGCUUUAGCGAAGUGGGGUAAGGUUGAAAUCGUGAGGUAAGAGCUCACGCGGGACAGCCUGGUGACAGGCGUCGUGGAAAACACCUAUCCGGUGCAAGGUCAGUUUCGACCGCUUGAGGUCCAGAGCAAUUUGGAUCCUAGAUAGAUGGCUGCCGUGGCAUAUUUAUAUGCCAUACAGAAUCCGGCUUAUAGCUAGUUGAAUAAA